rnacentral:lncRNA from 1 species
AUUGUUAUAUAUGUGACCACUGAACAUAGAAUAUAAUAGUCUUCAUUACAAAACUUGAGCUAACUCUAGCUAUGCUAAUUAAGUUAAUAACAAGUAGUACUAGUCUCUCUAUACUUAUGCAGCCGGAGCAAAAUCAUAGUCGCCAUCAUCGUCAUCACCAUCGUCCCCAUCCCCUUCCGAGCAUGUUACCUGUGAAAGAUCCUCGAAUUUGGCAGUGACUCUACCAUCUCCAUCUUCAUGCUUCCUGCACCACGCAACAAUGUUAAUAUUUGAAACGGGACACAUUUUUGUUUAUUUUUUUAUCAAGAAAGUGAAAAAAGAAAGAGUUAGACUGAGUCCAAAUGAUGAUAACUUAGAUUGUGAAGGUAAGUUCAAUAUAUAUAUAUAUAUAUAUAUAUAUAUAUAUAUCGAGGGACGAGAAUAAGGUGCAUGUUAAACUCGUUUAUGCACAAGGCAUUCACGUGGGGAGUGUGACUGCUGCAUGAAGGUUGUGCAAGAACCAUUGUCCAAGACAGGUGGUGCUUUGCCAUCCAGCCACGAAGGGAUCGCAAAUGACAAUUCAGCAAACCACGUUGGUGCAAAUUGUGUUUGCUUCGUGACAACAUGCAGAGUUCAUUCAUGUGUUAGGAUGGAGAUAAUUGGCAAUGUGUUGGGUGGGUAUGUAUUGGAAACUCUGAAAGUGAUAGAUGCUUUAUUCACAAGGCUAAUCUUUGCUUUUCAAUAUUAGGGUAGAAACAAUUAAUAGCUAGAUUUCAGUAACCUUCUCAUUUAAACUUUUUGGUUUUAUGUUUUUAGUUCGUUUGUCAUCCUGUAAUGUUAUAUGCAUGAUCUAAAUUCUAUAUUUUCAAGAUCAUCUUUUAAAUAUUAUAUUAUUCAGCUAAACAAUAAGAUUUCAACAACGCUAAUCAAUGAUUAAAUUAUCACUCAUUUAAUUGAUUUUUUGUAAAAUUAAUCUUAAAGGAUGAAGAGUAGUACUAUAUCAUCGUAACCAUUUAAUUUCGCCUGCCCCAUUAAGAUUAAUUUUGUAAGAUGAUUUUAGCUCAAGAUCGUACAUGUUAAAUAUUUGAUAGUUUUAUUCUUAUUAGUUUCUUUAGGAGGGAAUAUUUUAUUCUUCGGAGCACUCACAUCAUGUCAUCAUCAGAUCAGCAUCAUUUCAUUUUUCAUACACACUAGCUACUCGCCUACGUAUGUAUAAGAAACAUAUAGACUUUUCUUCCUAAAAAAUAAUUCCAAAGAGAAAAGAAGAGACUCAUGUUUUGACUGCCCCAACCAGCGCCAUAAAUGCGCGUGGUCUUUGUCAAUUUCUCAGCGUCUAAAGACUUAAUAUAUAGUUAAUACUUAUGAGAAAUUAUUAGUACUUUUAGGUAUAUUUGAAAGUACUUUUAAAAUAUUUAAAAUGAUUUAUAAAUUGUUAAAGACAUUUCUGAUCAUAUUUGACAGUAAAAUUAAAAUUUAAAGGUUAAAUUACACAAGACUACCUUAAUUAUUGGGCAAAUCACAGUUUUAUACCCCAUCUUUAAAACAUUUCAACGUCAUACUUUAUCAUCGAAUUUGUUUCAAUGUCAUACUUUCCGUCAGUUUGUCUGUCAAUUCCUUUGUUAAAUGCAUCAUCGCGAUCUCAUCCACUUGAUCUGCAGAUGCUCCAUAUGCAAGCAUUCGUAAGGCAGCCGUAAUUUUUUGCUCAGGAAGAAGACCUAGAACAUGAAAAGCAUCAUCUUUUUGCACAAAGUAUGGAUCAUGUUUGCAAAUAGCACUCAUGAUUUUGUCGAACAAGCUUCGUUGCAUUCUAAAAUGACAUUUAAAAACAUGAUCACGGAAUACGCUAUUGGGAAUAAAAUAAUAUUUCCAAGAGAUCUUUACCUCGUAUUUCCCUUUUUCUCUCGAAGUUUGCAGCAUGUCUGGGUUUGGCUUUUGACCCACAGCUUCCAUGACACGGCGGGAAUGCGAGGCCAUCAGCCUUCUAUGGUCAUCAUCUUCAUCCUCCUCCAUUGCAACAGCCUUAUCUCCACCUCCACAUUCCUCGAGAUUGACCAAUUCUUCCUGUUGUGCCAACAAUCUUUUCUGUUGCUCCUCAAACUGUUUAUACACUCUCCUUGAAUAAGACAUUAUAAGAACUCAAGAUUUGAAACUGAUGAAGAAGGAUUGAGUUUGGUGUGAGGAUGGAUGUAGGGAUGUAGGGUUUAUAUGGACAAAAAAAGAAAGGAUGAGAUUCUGGACUAUGUAACGUGGCACUACGUGAUUGGUUGAAAAUCUUAUCGAAAUCUUGGCUAAAUUAUUGUAAACAGAUAAUGACAUGUGGCGCGUCGGGAUUGGUUGAAAAUCUAAUUGGAAAUUUAUCCACAAAAUAGUACGUUCGGAUAAUGACACGUAGCGUGACAAGAUUGGUUGAAAAUAUUAUUGAAAUAUUAACUAAAUUAUUGUAAACAGAUAGUGACACGUGGCGCGUAGGGAUUGGUUGAAAAUCUUAGCGAAAAUCUAUUCACAAAAUAGUACGUUCGGAUAAUGACACGUGGUGUGACGAGAUUGGUUAAAAAUCUUAUUUGAAAUUAAAACUAUUUUUUUAUUUAUUAUUUUAUAAAAAUUUAACAAUAUUUUAAAUGGGUUGGGUGCCAUCACAUUUUGUAGGGAUAGAGAUCAUUUGUGCCAGCGUAUUUUUUAGGGAUGAAGAUGCAUUUGGUCUAUUACUGUUCAUUGAAAUCUAUUAUUGUUCAUUGAAUAGAUUAAAUGGCCUGGGUGCCGGCACAUUUUUUUAAGGGUGAACUUGCUCUUAUUAGGCACAACCUAAACAACACUACAACGGGAAACACAACGCAAACGAGCGUGAGCUGCUAUACCGAAUUCUUCGUUGACUAUCGAGGACGGAGUUGUAAAGCUAUGAUUUCUAAGGGAUUGGAUCACUCAAUAUUUAUUUUUCGCAGUUUAUUUGAAAUGGUAAACAAUGUUAGGUGAUGUUAUUAUGCUCAACUUCUAAGUAGUAUUAAGAAAAGACAAAUAUACGUGUUGAGUGAAAUAAUAAUACAAUAAGAUCAUAAUCCGUAUAAAAUAAUAUUAACAAACAAUAUAUACAUCUUAUAUUUUGAGUGAAACAAACAAUAAAUACAAGUCUUAUAAUUUGAGCGAAACGGAGAAUAAUAAUAUGAAUGUGAUGUUACCAUGACCCAAGUGGACCUAAAAGUACUCUAUCAUGUGGGUCCACUUAAGAGAAUGACAUAUGUGUGCACCCUAUAACAUUCUAAAAUAAUAACGUAUUGUAAUGUGUUUUAACUUCUCACAAUUGUAAUAAGUACAUAGGACGUGUUUUGUGAGCUCACAUGAACUGACUUGAUUUGGGCUUUUGAGAAUUGGAGUGGGCUAAACAAAAGGCUGGGCUGGGAGAAGAUUAAGCUUUGGGUCUUUUGUUGGUGACAGCUUGAGCUUUUGGGUCGAGCAGCCCCCUUGACUUGAGUUUGGUAUUCAUGACUUCGGGCUGGUUUGAUAUUACUAUGCUUUGAAGAAAGAAAACUGAUUCUACUAUGUUGUGAGAAUAAGCUUAUUUUUGCUGCUUUACGUUUUUAGCUUAUUUUCACCUAAAACUGUGAAAAUAAGCUGUUUUUAAGUGUACCAAAUACCUUUUUGAGCUCAACUUUUUUUAUACCCACUUUUUAUAAAAGGUACCAAACCAGUACUGAUGUUUAGAAAAAUGACUUUGAAGCUUACAAUGGGGAUGAUGAGUUAGGCUAUAUUAAUUUCGAUGAAGCUGCUUACGACGCAUGGGACGAGUCUGAUUGGGAAAUGGUUGGUUCUUUCGUAAACGUCCGGUGGACUGGCUGGGAUUCCUACUUCCCUACUUAGUUACUCACUAGUGAGUACACUCUACUCAAUCUCCCAUGGGAGAAUUUUGAAUGCGGGUCUUAUUUACCCAUUUGGAUGUGAUAAGUUGUAAAUUGCACGACUUUUAUGCCCGAAUGGAUGAUGUUUGGCUUCUCAAACAGGAGGAACGCCUCUUGAAAUAAGGAUGUGGCUCUAUCCAGAACGCACCCAUGUUCGAACAUUGAAAAAAAUUAGAAGUCAAGAGUAAAAACACGACCAAGUUUAGAGUUUAGGGUAUCAACCUCCCUCAGUUGCUUUCUGAAAAAGUACUUUUUUUAAAAAGCUAUAUAAAAUCCCAACUCAGAUCGCUUUCUGAAAAGCACUUUGUAAAAAGCUCUACAAGAACAAUACAAGGCCUCCACACCAAGCCACUUAAGGAUGCUAAGCAUGCAUUAUCUCAGUGAGUAAACAAACUAAAAGUGAAUCAGCAAAUCCAAAUAUACGAAAAGAAGAUAAUGAGAUACUGGAACACCAAAAUAUAUAAGCUCAAAAAUUAUCCAUUCAACAGACGCAACAAAACUUGAUAAGUAAAUAGUCUCAACUCAAAAACAUCCUCCUUCAGAAGGCGGAAUCGACACAACAUAAACUUGAUGGGUCACCACCGCCUGUCCAGAACCCAAUUCUGGGCGCCGACACUCGAGAAUGAAGACAUCAGACCGGAAUUAAAACAACUACAAACUAAACCGACUAAACCACUUAAAACCAAACAACUAAGAUAAGAGUUUGUAUCAUAAAAGCAUAAGUUUGCGUCAGUGAAAAUUUGAGUACUGGCCAUUGUUCACUUCUUCUUGGCAGCAGACUUGGUGACCUUGGCACCGCUGGGAUCCUUCUUCUCAACGCUCUUGAUAACACCAACAGCAACAGUCUGGCAUGUCACGAACAGCAAAGCGACCCAAUGGUGGGUACUCAGAGAAGGUCUCCACAACCAUGGGCUUGGUGGGAAGCAUCUUCACCAUACCUGCAUCUCCGUUCUUCAAGAACUUUGGCUCCUUCUCAAUCUCCUUUCCAGACCUCCUGUCAAUCUUGGUAAGGAUCUCACCGAACUUCACAGCAAUGUGUGAAGUGUGGCAAUCCAGAACUGGGGCAUAUCCGUUACCGAUCUGACCAGGGUGGUUCAUGAUGAUAACCUGGGAUGUGAAGUUGGCAGCCUCCUUGGCAGGGUCAUCCUUGGAGUUGGAUGCAACGAAACCACGCUUGAGAUCCUUCACGGCUACAUUCUUAACAUUGAACCCGACAUUGUCACCGGGGAGUGCCUCCUGAAGAGCCUCAUGGUGCAUCUCAACAGACUUAACUUCAGUGGUCAGACCAGUUGGCCCAAAAGUCACAACCAUACCAGGCUUGACGAUACCAGUCUCAACACGUCCCACUGGCACAGUUCCAAUACCACCGAUCUUGUACACAUCCUGAAGUGGAAGACGGAGGGGCUUGUCUGAGGGCCUCUUGGGCUCGUUGAUCAGGUCAAGAGCCUCAAGAAGGGUUGGUCCCUUGUACCAGUCAAGGUUGGUGGACCUCUCAAUCAUGUUGUCACCCUCAAACCCAGAGAUGGGAACAAAGGCGAUUUUGUCGGGGUUGUACCCAACCUUCUUCAGGUAGGAUGAAACUUCCUUCACGAUUUCCUCGUACCUUGCCUUGGAGUACUUAGGAGUGGUGGCAUCCAUCUACAAGAAGCAAUGCAAACACGGGAAUAAGUACACAAUCAAAGUCAGCAAACCAGUACAACAAAAGCAGUCUUACAAGUGAAUAACAACCAGUCAGGAGGCGCAAACAAAUAACAUAAAACAGUUAUUUGGCAUCAUCUAGAGUAUAAACACUACAAAUUUAUAGAUCAUUAUAUGUUCUUUUAAGUUAAUGACAGAGAUGAAUUAAGUUAGGCAAGAAAUGACACAUGACUUGCCUACACCUGUACAUUGUUACAAUGAAAAAAACAAGCCCAGACUCAAUUUAAAAUGGAACCAAUACGCAAUAAAAAAAAUCAACUAAGCAGAGACUAAAAACAGUAGCAAUAUUCAAUAGAAAUAAUUGUAAGACACAUCAAUACAACGCACUGAAGGUUGAGAUAAACCACUGAUAAAGCAUGUAGGAGAGAGAGGGAAUCGAACCCUCAAUAGUUAACUAAGAACUACGCCACCAGGCAGUCCCUCCAAUUCAUAACUCCAAACAUCUCCUCAUAAAGUGGACACUACCCAUAGUUUGGGGCAUCAUUGAUGCCCACAAAUGCCAAUCAAUAGAACCACAAGGGGUAUUUGAACUAUGGGAGGAUCCCUUUAUCAGACAGAACCAACUGCACACAGAAGUUAGAAAUAACACACAAUAACAUAAUCAUAAUAUUCAAAGACCAGGAAAUUAGAAUGGAAUUUAUACCUUGUUACAGCAGCAAAUCAUCUGCUUCACACCGAGGGUGAAAGCAAGAAGAGCGUGCUCACGGGUCUGUCCGUCCUUGGAAAUACCAGCUUCGAAACCACCAGUGGUGGAGUCAAUGAUGAGGACAGCACAGUCAGCCUGUGAAGUUCCAGUAAUCAUGUUCUUAAUGAAAUCACGAUGCCCUGGAGCAUCAAUGACCGUGCAGUAGUACUUUGUGGUCUCAAACUUCCACAAGGCGAUAUCAAUGGUGAUACCACGCUCACGCUCAGCCUUAAGCUUGUCAAGCACCCAGGCAUACUUGAACGACCUUUUGUUCAUCUCAGCAGCUUCCUUCUCGAACCUCUCAAUCACACGCUUGUCAAUACCGCCAAGCUUGUAGAUAAGAUGACCAGUGGUGGUCGACUUGCCGGAGUCGACAUGGCCAAUGACCACGAUGUUGAUGUGAAACUUCUCUUUACCCAUGCUAAGUAACUAGAAUUUACCUGCACCCAGAACAUGCAACACGAAUUAAAUCAACAGUUCGAUAUCAGUAUAUGAAAACAAGAAUUAAUCAAAUUUAUUCAAAUAAAGUAAGUUUGUUCUUUAAAAAAACAAACAUUAAAUUUUAAUUAGUAAUAAAUAAUUCUCAUAGUUUAAUUAAUAAAAAAUUUAAACUAGAAUAAAUUCUCACAGUUUAAUUAACAACAAAUUAAACCAUAUGGUAAAGUAGUUUAUUCAUAUAACAUCUAUGAUUUAUUGUAAAGGUAAAUCUUUAACAUAAGCAUCAACUAAAUCAAUAAAAUAAAAAAUCAAUCGGAUGUAUAUCAAAUAAAAACAGCCAUCUGGGUUAAGAAAACAUAUUAUCGCCUACUAAUCCAGAAAAAAAAUUUAAAAAAAAAAACCCAAUAAACGCUUUAAAUUUGGUUUUAAAAUCUAAUCAAUCGAUCUACAACAUAAUAAAGUAAAGAAACACCAUCAUCGAGUUCUUGAAUUAUAAUCAAGUGCAAACGAAAGAAACAGGCAUCGACAGAGCCAUAAACAAAUCCAGAUUAACGAGAACAACAUGAAGAGGCAGCGAUGAACAACGUUUGCAGUCCCAAAUCUAGAAAACGGAGAGCGAAUAGACAAUGAGGAGAGAAAAUACCUCUCAGAUCUGGAAGCUCGAACUCUUUGUUCAAGCGAGAGCGGCAGAGGCAGUGAGAAAUGAAAGCGUAGGGUUGUGAGGCGCAACGUGACUUAUUUAUAGGCUGAGGGGGGGUUUGGGAAAAUAUUUAGGGUUUGCGUUGGAGGCCGCUUUGUCGGUUUACUUGUUUGCCCCUGGGUGGUGUCCGAAAUGACGAGUUUGACCUCCUGGUUUGCUCUUCAAGUAAGAUGUCACGUAAAUAUACGGCUUUUCAUUCUUUUAUCGCACAAUGUUUGGCCGGUUUUAUUUACCGUUAUAAAUUGUACUAUUAUAGUACAAUGCCCAUAAAUUUCGGGAAAUGAAUCAUUUCUGGAUCCCUUCCAUCAAGUCUACUAAUUCUACUCAUUCGAGUUAUUAAACUUUAAUCCAACGGUUAAAGUUAUUAUAAAUUUUAAAGGACCCCUCAUUUGUAGCAUUUGGAUCAAAUUUUAAUGGUCCGCAUGAGUGGACUUAGUGGUCAUAAAUCAUUUUAAAUAUUUCUAUUUAAAAUUAAACACAAACAGUAUUUGACAAAAACUGACCGCACGAUGCACAACGAACGGACAUGAUUCACGGAUCUCCAAGAUCCUUUCCAAAAGAAUACUUAUACAAUUCAAAUACUUGGAACAAAAUUUUCUUUAGAAUAAAUUCAUUUAGUUGAGAGUGUUGUUGGACAAUUUGGGCAACAGAAAAUACAUUGGAAUUGCAACGCAAACGAGUGCGAGCUGCUAUAUUGGAUUCUUCAUUGAGCAUCGAGGGCUGAGUUGUAAAGUCAUGAUCUUCAAGGGAUUGGAUCACUUAAAACAUUUAUUUUAUGCAGAUUAUUUGGAAUCGUAAACAACUUGUUAUGUCAUGUUACCAUGCUCAACUUCUAAGUAAUAUUAAUAAUUCUGACAAUUCCUUUUUUUCUUUCUCAAAAGUAAUAUUAUACAAAAUAAAUACGUAAAAGAGAAAUAUUACAUUUGACCUCAAAAAAGAAAAAGAGAAAUACUAUACGAUUAUAAUCCUUAUAAAAUAAUAUAAAGAAAUGAUAAAUAUAAGUUUUAUAAUUUCAGUGAAAUAAAGGGAAAAUAUGUGUCUUAUAAUUUGAGUGAAAUAAACAAUAGUGAUACCAUGUGAUGUUACUAUAACACAGGUGGACCUAAAAUUACUCUAUCAUGCGGGUCCACCUAAGAGAAUGACAUAUGUGUGCUCUAUAGCAUUCUAAAAAAAUAACACAAUGUAAUGAGUUUUAACUUCACAAGUGUACGUACCUAAGACAUGUUUUGUGAGCUCACAUGAAUUGACUUGAUUUCGGGUUAGUUUGGUAUUAUUGUGCUUUGAAAAAAAACUGUUUCUACUGUGUUUGUAAGAAUAAGCAACAGUGAAAUAAAGCAGUAAAGUGUUUGGUAAUGAUAAUUGUAAAAGUGUUUUUUAAUAAAAGAAAAAAAGCAGUGUUAUAGUGUUUGGUAAAUAUUUAUGUAAAACAGCUGUGAUUGCGUAAAAUGACCAAAAAAAUAAAAAAACUUAUGGCCUUUUCUUCCUUUCUUUUUGCCAAACAGUUCAUGAUUGUUUCCUUUUUCCUUUCUUCUUUGUUUCCCUUUCUUUCUAGCUUUUUCAUUCUUCUUUCUUUAUAUUUCGUUAUGCCAAAAUGUUUAUGGCUUUUCUUCCAUUUUUCAUCAAUGAUCCCUCUUGAAAUUUCAAAAUCCUCACCCACCUUCGCCCCUUUGCAUUUCUCUUUCAAUUAUGGCGAUUUGGAACCUUCGUCCUCACUCCUAUUUCUAUUUCCUGCAUUCUGAUUUCCAGGGCAUUACAUGUUUUGGAAGGUGCGGUGGUGGAUGAGUGGGUGGGAUAUGGGUUAUCAUCUAGCAGGGAGUGGGUUGGGAUCAUGGUUUGCAAGGUGGCGAUGGGUGUAUUUGGUGGGGAUUGAGAGAGAGAUAGGGUGGCGAAUUUGGGGAGUAAGAAAAGAUGGAGGGGAUGGGUGGUGAAUCUAGGUAGUACGGCGCUAGAGAGUGACUAGAGAAAGAGGGGGGGGGUGGAGUCCAGAACUGGUAUGAAGGAGAAAGAUAGGGUAAGGUUGCCACUUUGAAAAAUUCAUUUAAUGGCACUAUUCAACCAUGUAUUGUGAUAAAAAACAGGGUUUUGCUACUUUGCCUUUUUAGUUUUUUUUUUCAUCCAAAACUACGAAAAAAACUGAUUUUGAAAGUUUACCAAACACAAAAAAAUUGGGUGUUUUUUUUCAUACCUGCUUUUUUAAAGAGAGUUUUAACAAAACACUCAUGGUACUGUUCACUUUUAACGAAAAACCACAUUUAUACAGUUCCCUGAUACUAUUCACUAUACCUUUAAAAAUGAAUUUUCAUUAAAAGGAAAGUUUUUUUGGACUUUUCGUUAGUUUUCAUUUUUUUAAAAGGUAAGCAGUACCAAACUGGUACUUCGGCCUUUGAGAAUUGGAUUGGGCUAAAUAAAGGCUGGGCUGAGAUAAAAAUUGGGCUUUGGGGCUUUGUUGGCGGCAGAUUGAGCUUUUGGGUCGAGCAGCCCACUUCGCUUUUCCUAGUUUUAAAAGAAAAAAAAGAGAGAAAAUGGAGGAGAAAACUUGAGGAGCCAGCCAACUGCACAAGAGACUCCUGAUUUCCACUGACCACCGAGACAAUCAUCAAUGGCGGGCGUAUCGCUCAAGUGCGGCGAUUGCGGGAGUCUGCUGAGGUCGGUGGAGGAAGCCCAAGAGCACGCCGAGCUCACCUCCCACUCCAACUUCUCUGAGUCAACCGAAGCUGUUCUCA